rnacentral:misc_RNA from 2 species
UCGAAACCUCGAAUUGGCAGACCGCGGACAUGUUUAUGCCGCAUUGGACUCCGACGAGUAGGUUCGUGCGCCUACCGUCUUCUCCAUUGCAUCCACCCGGCCCUCGCGCAAGCGGUCAUGCUAGGUUGGCCUAACAACAAACCCAUGGCGCUGAAUGUGCCAAGGAUCACAAACGUGGAGCGAUUCUCCCGUCAUGCCCCCGUCCGCGGGUGUCGUGCGCGGAAUGUGCGUCUCCUUAGGUUGAGUAUGAAAUAAU